UUAUGAUGUAGAUAGUGUCUUUUACUAAGAAAAAUUGUGUCAUUUAAAUAAAUAUAGUAUAAUUUAUGAGUGCAGAUAAUGUCUUUUAUUAAGAAAAAUAAUGUCAUUUAAAUAUAUUAAAAAUAUCAUUUACUAAGAAAAGUAGUGUCAUUUUAUAUAUUAAAAGUGAUAUUUAUAUAUAAAUAUAGUAUGCUCAUCUAAGAAAAGUAAUGUAGAAUUCUAAAUAAGUUGCACCAUGCUCAAACUACAACCUGUUCAAAUCUCUCCUCAUCAUAUCUGGCUUGCUCAUCUAUCUCAUCUACAUCUUCUCCUUCAAGGCUUCAAUAACACCACCAAUUCUUCAUUCCACACAUUCAUCAAUAACCCAUCAACUGAAACAAGUGAGUGUUCCAGUUGAAUUGUAUAUACACUUUAAAUAUAUAUAAAUGACACUAUUUAACUUAAUAAAUGAAACUAUUUAUUGAAUUUUUUUUCAUUCAGACAUUUUAACAAACACCUUAUCUGCAGAAAAAUAUGCUCUUGGCAUCAAAUAUUUGACUGCACAGCACACACCAACUAGAAGAGGGAAAGCUACGAGGGUUGUUCACUGCACCACAUCACAAGGUUUUCCCCAUCCAACAAAGCCACUCACCCAGCUCACAACCUACUUCACGUGACUAGCCGAUUCUCGUCGAAAUUAACAGCGAAAUGCAACAUAACAAAGAGGGAAGUCAACUACACAAAGAAGAUGAGCCAUUAGGAAUAAUGGAUCAGAGCCAUCCAUGACUUGAAGAGUGCGACAACUCUUUUUUAUGGAGGAACAAAUGGGCUUCGGCUGGAGAAGCUGCUGCGGUGAUGCGGCGCCGGCUGGAGAGGUAGAGGGUGGAGCGACGCGCGGCGACCCGCGACCAGAGCUGGGGAGAAGGACGAUAGCUUGUCAGGACUUAGAGGCAGGUGUGGUGGUGGUGAGUCGCGACGCCGACUUACCGGAAUUGGGGGGAGGAUUUAGGGAUUUUAUUUUAGAAAUUGGGGAUUAUUUUGGGCUCAGUAGAUUCAGGAAGAAUGUGAGGGAGACGAUUGAGUGAGGAGAUGACAUGAGCCGGUGUCGGCCGACGAACUUUUCCGACGGAGAUCGAAGGGAGAAUAGAGAAAGUUGGGGUAUGGAUUGCCGCAGAGAGAGAAGAGGAGGAGAGAAGCCAGAGAGAAGGAAAGCAUCGUUUUUUUUUCAUAUAUAUAUCGGGUCAACUGACCCGGUUCAUAUUUGUCCGACCCGACCCAGACCCGCGCGCAUUGUGUGAGCGCAAGUUUAAAGCAGCGCGCAUAUAAGUUUUUGUC
rnacentral:lncRNA from 1 species